GGAUUAGAUACCCUGGUAGUCCACGCCGUAAACGAUGGGUGCUAGGCGUCGGCUCUUUAAGAGUCGGUGCCGCAGCUAACGCAUUAAGCACCCCGCCUGGGGAGUACGGUCGCAAGAUUAAAACUCAAAGGAAUUGACGGGGACCCGCACAAGCGGUGGAGCAUGUGGUUUAAUUCGAUGCAACGCGAAGAACCUUACCACCCUUUGACAUCCUGAUCGCCGGGCUUGUAAUGAGCCCUUCAGUUCGGCUGGAUCAGUGACAGGUGUUGCAUGGCUGUCGUCAGCUCGUGUCG
rnacentral:rRNA from 1 species